AGCGAACGCUGGCGGCAGGCCUAACACAUGCAAGUCGAACGAACUCUUCGGAGUUAGUGGCGGACGGGUGAGUAACACGUGGGAACGUGCCUUUAGGUUCGGAAUAACUCAGGGAGAACUUGUGCUAAUACCGAAUGUGCCCCCCGAUUCAUUUUGGGGUGGGAAAGAUUUAUCGCCUUUAGAGCGGCCCGCGUCUGAUUAGCUAGUUGGUGAGGUAAAGGCUCACCAAGGCGACGAUCAGUAGCUGGUCUGAGAGGAUGAUCAGCCACAUUGGGACUGAGACACGGCCCAAACUCCUACGGGAGGCAGCAGUGGGGAAUCUUGCGCAAUGGGCGAAAGCCUGACGCAGCCAUGCCGCGUGAAUGAUGAAGGUCUUAGGAUUGUAAAAUUCUUUCACCGGGGACGAUAAUGACGGUACCCGGAGAAGAAGCCCCGGCUAACUUCGUGCCAGCAGCCGCGGUAAUACGAAGGGGGCUAGCGUUGCUCGGAAUUACUGGGCGUAAAGGGAGCGUAGGCGGACAUUUAAGUCAGGGGUGAAAUCCCGGGGCUCAACCUCGGAAUUGCCUUUGAUACUGGGUGUCUUGAGUAUGAGAGAGGUGUGUGGAACUCCGAGUGUAGAGGUGAAAUUCGUAGAUAUUCGGAAGAACACCAGUGGCGAAGGCGACACACUGGCUCAUUACUGACGCUGAGGCUCGAAAGCGUGGGGAGCAAACAGG
rnacentral:rRNA from 1 species